UAUUAAAAAUUUCAUUCGUACGUAUUGUUAAAAACUAGUGACCAGAUGAUGAUACAUGGUGUGUCACGUGUGCAUCAUGAUGACGUACAUGGACCAAUUUUUAACAGUAUAAAUGGAUGAAUUUUUUAACA
rfam:Gossypium raimondii Chr02_contig_1453, whole genome shotgun sequence.